ACGGCCACACCAUGCUGAAUAUACAGGUUCUCGUUAGAUCACCGAAGUCAAGAAUCAUUGGGCGCGGUCAGUACUUGGGUGGGUGACCACCUGAGAACACCGCGUGCCGUU
rnacentral:rRNA from 1 species